GAUCCUGGCUCAGGAUGAACGCUAGCUACAGGCUUAACACAUGCAAGUCGAGGGGCAGCAUGUCGGUUGCUUGCAACCGACGAUGGCGACCGGCGCACGGGUGAGUAACGCGUAUCCAACCUACCCUUGUCCAUCGGAUAACCCGUCGAAAGGCGGCCUAACACGAUAUGCGGUUCUCAGCAGGCAUCUAACGAGAACGAAAUGUGAAGGAGAAGGAUGGGGAUGCGUCUGAUUAG
rnacentral:rRNA from 1 species